ensembl:lncRNA
CAAAGGGGGAUUGCUUUUAUUUGGAUACACACAAUCAACAUGUUAUGUAAUUCAAAAUAUGAGUUACCAACGAAAAGGUUUAGAUCAGCUAUGGAGACCUACAGAAAGGCAGUUUGCCAACCCUGUGAAUGAAGAGAAGAGGCUGCACAAAACCAGGCAGAAAGAAACAUGUCCGGGCUUCUUCAGAGCUCUGAGAACAGCCAAACAGCAGAACAGGUUUAUGGUGAGGAAAACUGUGUAGUGUACCAGAAAUGUAAGGCUGUCUUCAGUGCAUCAGUGAUCAGUGCAGUUCUCACACAGAGUAUACAGCGCUGGAUAUGUUGCAUGUCAGUUUUAUUAUUCUAUGCAAAUUUGGCAUUGCUUGCACCAUGCUUUACUGCAUGAGCCAAUGCUUUACAUAGGACAGCAAUACAUACUUUUUGUGGACAAUGUAAUGUUCAGCAGGGGUACUGAUAUAAAAUUAAACUAAUUUUGCAAACAUAUUUUAUAACAUCAGUUAUAUUUUAGAUUAUAGAGUAACUUUUAUUUAUAAAUAUGAUGUGAUGGCUCUUACAAUACCAUUUAAAUGACCUACAAAUACAGACAUUUACACACCAACACAUUUUCAUAAGAUGUAUUAAUGAGUAUCAUACAGAGAAGGUUGACAUCUUCACGGCAGCUGUAUGAAAAUCAGAGGACAGGGCAAUUGUUUUUAUUGGAGUACACAAACAUUGAAC